GAUGAAGAACGAGCGAAAUGCGAUACGUAAUGUGAAUUGCAGAAUUCAGUGAAUCAUCGAGUCUCUGAACGCACAUUGCGCCCCCUGGUAUUCCGGGGGGCAUGCCUGUCCGAGCGUCAUUGCUGCCCUCAAGCACGGCUUGUGUGUUGGGCCUCCGUCCUCCUCCCGGGGGACGGGCCCGAAAGGCAGCGGCGGCACCGCGUCCGGUCCUCGAGCGUAUGGGGCUUCGUCACCCGCUCUUGUAGGCCCGGCCGGCGCUUGCCGACACAUCAAUCUUUUUUCCAGGUUGACCUCGGAUCAGGUAGGGAUACCCGCUGAACUUAAGCAUAUCAAUAAGCGGAGGA
rnacentral:misc_RNA from 1 species